CAAAGGUUAGUUUAAUCUUAUUUUAAAAUAAUAAUUUUGGGAAUUGUUGAUGAAUUUAUAUUUACCUUUGA
rnacentral:tRNA from 1 species